UACAGAGGGUGCAAGCGUUGUUCGGAAUUACUGGGCGUAAAGCGCGUGUAGGCUGCAAUGUAAGUCGGAUGUGAAAGCCCUUGGCUUAACCAAGGAAGUGCAUCUGAUACUGCAUCGCUUGAGUGUCGGAGGGGAUGGCGGAAUUCCCGGUGUAGAGGUGAAAUUCGUAGAUAUCGGGAGGAACACCUGUGGCGAAGGCGGCCAUCUGGACGAUCACUGACGCUGAGACGCGAAAGCGUGGGUAGCAAACAGG
rnacentral:rRNA from 1 species